rfam:Rhabditophanes sp. KR3021 genome assembly, scaffold: RSKR_scaffold0000088
AUCGCUUCUCGAGCUUUUUAGCUCAGAUCAAAGUGUAGUAUCUGUUCUUUACUGUUUCAUCGCAGUAAAAUCCUCUACGAGGAUUAUGUGAUUGAACUAUUUUUGGGACUUAAAUGUCUUUGGGCUUGCUCAAAUCAUUCGUUGGUCGGUCUAGUCUUGCACCUUUGCUAGACUCGGCCUAAAAUAA